AAGUCGUAACAAGGUUUCCGUAGGUGAACCUGCGGAAGGAUCAUUAAUGGGGGAGUAGUAUAUAAAAGAAUGAUAAAGAGUGUUUAUUAAAAAGUAUAUAAAAGAGCAAUUAAAAACAACUUUUAACGGUGGAUCUCUUGGUUCCU
rnacentral:misc_RNA from 1 species